rnacentral:rRNA from 1 species
UACGUAGGGGGCGAGCGUUGUCCGGAAUCAUUGGGCGUAAAGCGCGUGUAGGCGGCCCGGUAAGUCCGCUGUGAAAGUCCAGGGCUCAACCCUGGAAUGCCGGUGGAUACUGUCGAGCUCGAGUCCGGAAGAGGCGAGUGGAAUUCCUGGUGUAGCGGUGAAAUGCGCAGAUAUCAGGAGGAACACCAAUGGCGAAGGCAGCUCGCUGGGACGGUACUGACGCUGAGACGCGAAAGCGUGGGGAGCAAACAGG